rnacentral:rRNA from 1 species
GACGAACGCUGGCGGCGUGCUUAACACAUGCAAGUCGAACGGAAAGGCCCUGCUUUUGUGGGGUGCUCGAGUGGCGAACGGGUGAGUAACACGUGAGUAACCUGCCCCUGACUUUGGGGUAACUCUAGGAAAAUGGGGCUAUUACCGGAUAGAAUCUUUUGCACCGUGUGGGGGGUAGGAAAGUUUCGGCGUUGGGGGAUGGACUCGCGGCUUCUCCGCUGCUUGGUGGGGUAGGGACUUACAAAGGUUUUGACGGGUAGCCGGCCUGAGAGGGUGACCGGCCACAUUGGGACUGAGAUACGGCGCAGACGCCUACGGGAGGCAACAGUGGGGAAUAUUACGCAAUAGGCGGAAGCCUGAUGCGACAACGCCGCGUGCGGGAUGACGGCCUUCGGGGUGUAAACCGCUUUCGCCUGUGACGAAGCGUGAGUGACGGUAAUGGGUAAAGAAGCACCGGCUAACUACGUG